rnacentral:rRNA from 1 species
UGGCGACCAUAGCAAGAGUGAACCACCUGAUCCCUUCCCGAACUCAGAAGUGAAACCUCUUA